AUAAAUCGAAGCCCUCGGUUGGGUUCGCGAACGGGAGAAAGAAAGAGAGAGUUCACUGCCACUACAUAUCACUCGCCGUCUAUCGUCGCCGGCGCCGUUUCGGUAGCAUCCAUGUACCGCAGCAGCGCCUCCGGUGAUGGCAAGUGCAGAUGACGGUUGUCGACAUGUACGCCCACGUCACCGGCGGGCGUGGCGAGCUCCGUCGCCCCUAAGAUCAAUCUCUUAGGUCUUUCUCCCAAGAAGGUCUGUGAAGACAUUGCCAAGGAUGGAAGGGCCUCUACAUCAUCGUCGAGGAGUUGCGAUGGCGGUGGAGGCAGGGGCAGGGUUGAUGGCGGUGAGGGAGGGAGGGAGGGGGGCCGCUAGGAAGGGGAGGAGGACCAGGAGCACGUGGGCAUUGAUGGCGCCACAGGCGAUCAGCACCUGUUCGAGAGAGCAUGAGAAGAUUUAGCAGGAGUGGUUCUUCUUGGUCGAUUCAGAUGGAGAUGGGCGCAUCACGGGAAACGAUGCCAUCAAGUUCUUCGCCAUGUCUAAGCCAUCUCGCCCCGAACUUAAACGGCUAACGAGAGUUUAUGGCACAUUAAUGUCGUCGCUUGGGAAAGUUUUGAACACUCCUAAAGUUAUGCAUAUGCAUGUUGGGUUGUUUUGCAGUAUCAGUGAAUUUCUAUAGUUCAUUGACUUAUAAAUUACCAUGCCAAAUGAUUUCUAAUGAGAAGUUACAGUUCAUUAAAUGACAAACCAAUAAAGGAGGCAGCUGUUGGUCCAAUUGGAAAGGAACUUUUUGAAAGGGAACAAGUUAACCUCCUUUCCAAUUUGAAAAAUUUCCCAAGAAGGCUUGUGAUCACUGUAUCAAUGAAUUUGUUAAGCAUGCAAGAGCAGCUAAGAUUCAUAGGAUGAGUUUGCAAAGAAAGUGGGACUCUGUAUUUCCUGAAAUCUGUUGAAACGGGUUCAAAGGGAAUUUUAUCUACCAGCUGGGGAUUUCUCUAAUUUCGAACCCUUCAAGGAGGUAUUGAGUGGUCAUGACGUCCACAAGUUUGAGAAGCUGAAGCCCAAACUGACACAGGUUGUGGAUGACAUGUUGGGAUAUGAUAUCCCGGAACUCUCGAGGAACUGCAGAAACCCCUAUGAAUGAUGGGAAGUGAUGAUCAUUCUGAUAGAUUGCUGUCAUCUUCAUUAGAAAAGUAGACAGUGAGUUACAAGAGACAUGUAUAGCUCAGUCUUCUCUUCAUGUUAUUGUCAAUUAUUGUAGUAAGGCUGUGCAAAUUCACAGAUUUUGACCUCUGAUGGGUGGGUAAGGAUGGUAUCAAAUGAUAAGGAUUAGUCAAAAUCAAUGGGGACAUGUGUUCACUUGAAAUAUCUUCCAGUGAUCUAUAUGAUAUUUUGGUAUUGUAACCUAUAUAUGCACUCUUCAUAUGCAUCGUAUUCAAUCAA